GAGGAAUAUUGGUCAAUGGGCGAGAGCCUGAACCAGCCAAAUCGCGUGAAGGAAGACUGCCUUAUGGGUUGUAAACUUCUUUUAUACAGGAAUAAAAAAGGGGACGUGUCCCUUAUUGCAUGUACUGUAUGAAUAAGCAUCGGCUAACUCCGUGCCAGCAGCCGCGGUAAUACGGAGGAUGCGAGCGUUAUCCGGAUUUAUUGGGUUUAAAGGGUGCGCAGGCGGGCUUUUAAGUCAGCGGUGAAAUCUCGGGGCUUAACUCCGAAACUGCCGUUGAAACUGGGAGUCUUGAGUAUGGAUGAAGUAGGCGGAAUUCGUUGUGUAGCGGUGACAUGCUUAGAUAUAACGAGGAACUCCGAUUGCGUAGGCAGCUUACUAAGCCAUAACUGACGCUCAAGCACGAAAGCGUGGGGAUCAAAC
rnacentral:rRNA from 1 species